AUUCCCUUCUCCAGGGCACCUUCCCAACCCAGGGGUUGAAUCCAGGUCUCCUGCACUGCAGGUGGACUCUACCAUGAAGCCCCUGUUGGUUUUUAAAUUAACCAAGUAAUUUUUGUGAACAUUUAACACUUGCUACAAAGUAACAGUUGUGCCAGUUAGAACCUUAUUUAUAUCAUUUCAUCACAACCACCAUAAGAGGUACCUAUUAUUUUAAUCCCAUGUUUCACAGAAAAUUUUGAGGUGUAAGAAGUUUGAGUGGUCCUAGAUUAAAAAGCUAGAAAGUGGUGAGUCCCAUUUAAAUCCAGGUAAUCUAAGUCCAGAAUUUUUACAUUCUUUUUUGCCUCUCCUACAUUUAAAAUUUGGAAUAAAGGUAACACACAAGGCCUGUCCUGGAAGAGCUGAUUUUUAGGAAAUCCUUUUGCUACCUACAAAAUAAAAUCUCAGACUCAAUGUAAAUUCAAUGAUUGGAAAACUAUCAAGUAUGUAAGUCUUGAAAAUAGGUUUAACAAUGAACUGUCUAAUACGUAAUCUUCCUAAUACCCUAGUGCAUGCAAGUUAAGUUGCUUCAGUCGUGUCCAACUCUUUGCGACCCUAUGAACUGUAACUUACCAGGCUACUCUAUCCAUGGGAUUCUCCAGGCAAGAAUACUGGAGUGUGCUGCCAACCCUCCUCCAGGGGAUUUUCCCAACCCAGGGCUCAAACCCGAGUCUUAAGUCUCCAGCAGUGGUAGACAGGUUCUUUAUCACUAGCAUCACUUGCGAAGCCCCUAGUGAAGUGUAAAUACCAAUCAUUUCCAUUUUGCAGGUGGAAUGCACGGCAAAUGUAUCUUGACUUUAAGAGCCUUGAAUCUUAAGUGGCCUGCCACCAAUUUGGAUCUUCUUGGCUGAUUACAUGAAGUAUAUCCCCUUUUUGGAAAGACAGACCUAACUCUCGACAUGGAACAUAAGGGUCAUCUGAGGGGUCGUAGUCAAAAUGAGCCUUUACGUGGAUCUAAACAAUAAAAAGGGUAAAAGUAAGGACAAUAAUGAAAUGGCAACACAAUGUUUAGCAUAAAUGUGAGUGUUAUAAAUUUUUCAUCAGCACAAAGAUAUUACAAGUUGAAAAAAAUCAAGGUUAGGUUAGUAAUUGUAUUUGAGGGCAGAAUUUUUUUCAGACUCAUCUGUUUUUUUUCAAUUAAGACAGUCCUGUUGAUUGCAAACAUGUACAAGAGUAUGCUAAACACUGCACUGUUAUUGCUAACAAGCUGAAAUGCCAACAGGCCUUAAAAGUUUGACAGAAGCAGAAGGAAUAUAAAAGAGUCCCUCCCUCUCCAUUCCUGACUUGUGAAAACAAUGACUCUGCAGUAAGGUAUGUAAUUUCUAAACCACUAUUACCAGGAAAGGUAAACUGUAAACCUCUCCACAUCGGUCAUCUAAGCAGGUAAGUGUCAGGUUCCCUGGUGCCAUCAUCUCUUCUUAACCACACUGUCAAUGCCACUGUGCCUUGAUCACUCCGAGUCUAUUCUAAAGGACUAUGUCUAGGUUCAUAUAUAAUCAACCCCAAACUGCUAAAAUUACCUAAAUCAAGUUUAUAACCAAUUCCUACCAUGUUCUGUAUGUAGGCACUGAAAUAUUGUUAGUGCCACAAGCUAAAAUUUUUGCUAACUGUGCUUUGUGUAUCUAAAACCUGCUAUGCUCUCAGCACUAGAAAUAGGUAAGAAUUCACAUGAACCUUAUUAAAAGCCCAAUUAUUUCCUACAGUAUUUUCUCCAAUACACUUCUGUAAGUUAUAACAAAGUAUCCUUACUUCUUAAAAGGUAUAAAGGAAUCAAUAUUCUCCUUAAUUCCUAUCUGUAAUUUUUAUCCAACCUGGUCAAGUGGCAUGUGGCAUUUCCAAAAUCUGCAGAUUAUAUGAAAUCUGAUAAAAUUGAAUUUUAGAGUUAUACACGAUAGUAGUAAGUUAAAACACAGCUGAGAGACUAGGUAAAAAGAUUAUACAUAGAAUUUUAUAACCUUGGCAUGAGAAGCAUAUAAUAUAUAGGAUGAUAAAAAAAAAUCUCUGCUUGUACUAUUCCUAUUAAUCAAUAAUGCUUCCACAUCUAUUUAAAUUGUUGCCUUUUAGCUUAACAAUCCUGGAAAUCUACAUAUGAAACUAUAGGCAUCAUUUAUUGUGGUGGGGAGUUCAUUUUAUUAUCAGGCUUUUCAGAGAUCUAUGAAAUCAGACUUCUUGUCAACCUGAUGGAUGACUUUAUCAAAUCACUUUCUGAAAUCAAUACCCGGCAUGCUGUUUUCAAAGUGUUUUGCUCAGAACACUUACUGGGAUGUUUAUUAAAAUACUGACUUCUUAUACCACAUCUCAAACUUUCAGAUUCUGUAUUUUAAUUAAGUUCCUUGGAUAAUUGCUACAUACAUGCCAUUUAAGAUGUACCCUAAAAUCUUAGGGAAUUAUUAUCCUGAGGGAAACUAAAUAGACCAGUGAAGAUGCUGUAUCUAAGUCUAUGACCUUUGCCAGAGGCAGACAAAAUCACCCAGAGAUGUUUUUCUCCCUAUUGUUGCUUAGGUAUCACCGCUUGACCAUUCAGAUUUAGUUGGUUUGGAAUGGGCCCCUCGUUGUGUUGACUGGAAGAGGAAAAGAGAGGACAUACUUUGUUUAUGUGACAAGUUUAUUUAGUGCUGUUUAAAAUGUACUCUAAAACUGAGAGCAAAGUUUAUUUCACACCAGAGAAAUUAACCAACUGACUGAGUUAAAGUCUGAGUAUUGCCUUAACACAUACUAUGUGACUUUUUUGUGACUUCUAUCUAUAUAUAGGCAUGUAUUGUUUUAUUGUGUUUCACUUUAUUUCAUUUUGCAGAUAUAUAUAUGUGUGUGUGUGUGUGUGUGUGUGUGUGUAAAUUGAAGGUCUGUGGCAACCUUGUGUUGUCAGAUGAAGGUUAGCAUUUUUAAGCAAUAAAGUAUUUUUAAAUAAGUGUAUAUUUGUUGUUUGUUUAGACACAAUGCAAUUGUACUCUUCGCAAACUACAGAACAAUGUAAUUAUAACUUUUACAUGCGAUGGGAAAACAAAAACUUUGUAUGACUCAUUUUAUUUCAGUGAUCUGGAACCUGCAAUAUCCCUUAAGUAUGCCUACAGGCAUUCCACUGCAGUUCUUACAGUUCCAGAAGUUACAUCCAGCAGUCUUACCUCUUCAGUUCAGGGUAGUGGCUACUUUUUUUCCUUUCCCAUACAAAGGAAAACAGAGUCCUUUUUAAAUGAAGGAGAGACUCUGACCCCUACAGGAAAGCCCCAGGGCUUCACCAUGCAGUAGCAUCAGUACAGUAUAUCUGACCAAAACAAUGUUUGGUUUCUAAUUCAAACAAAAUCAUGUGUUUAAAUUUUAAAUUACAGGGUUGUUUAGACACAAUUAUCUUCC